rnacentral:lncRNA from 1 species
UGGAAAUAGUUAACAGCAAGCACGUACUCUGGGCCAAAAGAGACCGGAAGGUUCAGAUUAUUGCUUUAUUUAUUUUAUUUUAUUCCUAAUUAACAUUUUACAAGCUCUGAAUAUGUUUACAGAAGCACAUGGAGGAAAGGGUAUAUGAACAAACAGAAUUAAUAGCCAUCGACUGCUCCAUAACAUACCCAAAAGAUUAAGAUAUCAUAGAGAAGUCUUGCUGUUUCUGGUGGAAGCCAGGAGGGCCCAUUCAGAGCGAGAACAAAAUUUCUCCUUGCUGCUUUUAUUUUCUAACCUAAGCCCGAGUGUUUAGCAGGAAGAUCUGAUCUGCUGGUGGGGAAAUCUACCAAGUGUUGUUUUUUUUUCAGAUGGAGCCUGAAUGACGAUGAUCUGUUUUGUUGUUGUUGGCUUCUGAUUGAUAAAAUUAGGAAACAGACAAUAUUUUCAGACAGAUAAAGGAUAAGCCUAAUGUCUAGAUCAGCUUUAUCGCAGUCUCUAUUACUUAGACCUGCUGAGGAGUUUCCACCUUUCUUUUGAGCCCAUUCCCAUCCCACCUGCUGCAGUAGCAAUACUGAAUCAUUUGAGAACAUAUCAUCUCCCUCUUUUCCCUAAGCUUUGUCUGAUGCUUGCAUAAAUGCAAGAGCUCUGAGUCCCAUCAACCGAUUGCCCAAAGAGAGUUUAUGGUCUUUUGUUAAACUGCCAAGGGAAAGACUAAGGCUGUUUGUCAGAUAGCUGCACUCAGUUCUCAAAAAAAAGAAAAAAAAAAAAGUUAAUAUAAUGUCUUUGGGAACUUUGCUUUACUGAUGUGUUUUUAAGCUGUCUACUACUUUCCUUCAGAGAAAGAAAUAAGUUACCAAAAAUCAGAGUUGCCCAGGGUGGUGGUGGAGUCACCAUCCCUCGGGGUGCUCAAGAACAGUGGAGAUGUGGCACUGGGGGAAAUGGAUAGUGGGUAUGGUGGGGAUGGGUUAACAGUUGGACUAGAUGAUCUUAGUGGUCUUUUUCAACCUUAACAAUUCUAUGAUUUUAUGAUUCUAUGAUUCAUUCUACCAUUUUAUUUUGUGAUCUUGAGUAAGACACAAAUGUAAGGAAAUUAUUCAUUUAAUUUCUCCAAAUUUUAGCCAGAUGAAGUUGUGAAAGGUGUUUUACGUGCAUUUAGAUUCAUGUUUAAAUCCAGGGGAGUUACAGAUCCAAAUUGCUCAGAUAUCUCUGAGAAACUCUGAGUACUUGUCAGCUUCUUUAGACACGUAGGUGUUUUCUGCCUCCUCACUCCUUUGUGAAUCCUAGUUUUAGGACCAGACACUCAACAUAUUCCCAAAACAAGAAUUAGUUACCACUUGGUAGUAUUUGCAUAGUUUUUCCCUUCUUCCAAAUUCUCACGGUUUCUGAUGUUAGUGUAGCUCUGCCAAAAGUAAGGUGGGAACACUCUUGUAAGCAAGCUGUCACUCCUCUGUAUUGCUUUUACAACGGAGUUGCCUUUGCUGACUCAGAGGGGCCUCAUACUUCUGCUUUUUCCAGCAAACUGCCAUACUUUCAGUCGGAGCUGUCUUGCAGGGUAGCAACAGAAGAAGGAAAUUGUACUGGGGGUAAGUGGAUCUUGUAGUAGGUUGACAGAAGUUCCUGCAUAGGUUCCAAGAAGU